GAUGAACGCUAGCGGCAGGCUUAACACAUGCAAGUCGAGGGGUAUAGGUUUUCGGACCUAGAGACCGGCGCACGGGUGCGUAACGCGUAUGCAAUCUACCUUUCACAGAGGGAUAGCCCAGAGAAAUUUGGAUUAAUACCCAAUAGUAUUAUGAAGUGGCAUCAUUUUAUAAUUAAAGUUCCAACGGUGAAAGAUGAGCCUGCGUACCAUAAGCUAGAGGGUAAGGUAACGGCUUACCAUGGCAACGAUGGGUAGGGGUCCGGAGAGGGAGUUCCCCCACACUGGUACUGAGACACGGACCAGACUCCUACGGGAGGCAGCAGUGAGGAAUAUUGGUCAAUGGACGCAAGUCUGAACCAGCCAUGCCGCGUGCAGGAUGACGGUCCUAUGGAUUGUAAACUGCUUUUGUACGAGAAGAAACACUCCUUCGUGAAGGAAUUUGACGGUAUCGUAAGAAUAAGGAUCGGCUAACUCCGUGCCAGCCGCCGCCGUAACAC
rnacentral:rRNA from 1 species